rnacentral:rRNA from 1 species
UAAAGGUUUGGUCCUAGCCUUCCUAUUAGUUUUUAGUAGACUUACACAUGCAAGCCUCCACGCCCUAGUGAGAAUGCCCUUAAAAUCACCAGUGAUCUAAAGGAGCAGGUAUCAAGCACACUCUUAAGUAG